rnacentral:rRNA from 1 species
UACGUAGGUGGCAAGCGUUGUCCGGAUUUACUGGGCGUAAAGAGCGCGCAGGCGGUCGACCAAGUCGCGUGUGAAAGCCCCCCGGCUCAACUGGGGAGGGUCACGCGAUACUGAUCGACUCGAAGGCAGGAGAGGGUAGUGGAAUUCCCGGUGUAGUGGUGAAAUGCGUAGAUAUCGGGAGGAACACCAGUGGCGAAGGCGGCUCACUGGAUCGGUACUGACGCUGAGGUGCGAAAGCGUGGGGAG